UGUAGGCACAGAUACAUUGAUGAUAAUAUGGUGGCUUUGUAAUAGGUAAUUUUAAUUUACAUCCUUCCUUACAGCAUGGGAGACUUGACUGAAUUCCUGAAACAAAGAGAAGUCUCUGAGGAAAUUAUACAGACCUUGGAGAAUGAGAAGAUUGAUGCCAGUGUCAUAAGUCUAAUGACAGAUGAGGAGCUGAAGACUUAUUUGCCAUCAUAUGGUGAUCGUCUAGCAGUAUUUGGAUUUUGCAGACGGAGGGGCAGCAGCCGCAAGUCAGCGCUUUUUGAACGGCUGAAAUCCAAAGCGUCCAAAAGAAAAUUAUCUGAAGAGGAUGGCAGUAGCACACGGCAAGAAGAACAUUCCCAAACAACCCAUAAAAGAAAUGCUCUGAAGAGAAAUAGAAAAAUAGAAAUAGGAUGGAUGCAUUAUGAUGAAGACACUGAGGUUUUCAAGCAGGUUAGAGCUAGACGAGGAGGAGGAACAAGAAAAAUAGACAUUUGCAAGGAUGCCAAGAAAAGGGACAUAUUACAGGUUGCAACAGGCCUGUUCUUUCCAGAUGGAGGAAACAUUCAGGGGCCCUUAACAGAUUUUGACUGUGAUCUGAAGGAUUAUCAAGAGAUGAUAGUCGAUGAUGCAUUGACAGUAGGAGAACUUUAUCAUGUCACAAAACUAAAUAUCCGCAGGUUCUACCUCACCACAAAGAAAAAACAAAAUGACAGCCUUCAGAGUUCCAGCCCGAGUUUGCAUCCAUCUUCAGAAAUUGAAGAGAGUCCUCAAAACCAAACCUCUUCUUUUACUGUCACUACAGUCCAAACAUCUGCUCCAUUUGAAACGGUCAGCCAUGAUGUGACAUACAUUGAAGACACUCCAAACGAUAACCUUCCACAAUCUUCCACGCAGUCUCUAAGUGCUAACACUUCUCACAGCAGUGACAUUAUUUUUGUUGGCCCCUUUUCUGACAGUGAGCCAAUAAAUUUGGAUGACACCCUGAUUUUUUCUCCACACCCUGGUCCAUCCAGUGAGAGAGUGAGGAGAGUAGUGGUGGUCCACAGAGGGCAGGUAAUGUCAGAGCUCAUUUCACAUUUUAGUGAUAAGGACCUUGAAGAUGUCGACAUCAAAAUCCAGAUCGUACUGCCUGAUGGAACACCUGAAAUGGCCCAUGACGAUGGGGGAGUUGUGAGAGAUUGUCUUUCAGAAUUCUGGAAAGAAUUCUAUGACCAGUGCACCACUGGAAAUGUUUACAAAGUGCCCUUCUUAAGGCAUGAUUUUGGGCAACAGGAGUGGGAGAGUGUGGGCAGAAUCAUUGCAUUUGGAUGGGUUAGAGAGAAAUAUCUGCCUGUGAAAAUUGCACCUGCCAUUCUAGAACAAGCUGCCUUUGGAUAUGUAAAGAGUGAUAUUGUGGAGGAUUUCCUUAAGUUCAUGCCUGAAUCUGAGCGUACAGUGUUAGAGGCGUGGCGAUCAGACUUUAGCAUCGUGGACCAAGAAGAACUUAUAGACAUACUUGAUAACCACAGCUGCAGAAAGAUACCAACAGCCUACAAUGCCACUGAAGUCCUAUUGGAGCUUGCACACAAAACACUUGUCCAAGAGCCUGCGUAUGUUAUUGAACAGUGGGCAAGAACACUCAGCACUGCAUGGGAAAGCAUUUGUGAUCUAUCGUCACUUUUUGAAACCCUCCAACCAAAUGUGAGAAAAGUUCUCAAGUGUCUCACUUCUAAGAAAAAGUCUUUGGUGAAAUACCACUGUAAUGUAAUUUGA
ensembl:lncRNA